rnacentral:rRNA from 1 species
AUGCUGCACUACAUGUGGUUGCUAGCCAUGGGGACAGCGCAGAAUUCCUCAAGAGUGCUACCAUCAUCAACAAAGAGGGACCAAGACCUCCUGUUUGAGGUAAAUAGAAAGGGUGACACGCCCUUGCAUUGUGCAGCCAGAGCUGGUAAACCUCAAAUGCUCUAUUGUCUCAUUACACUAGCUGGAAAUCACAACAUGAGAAAGGAGAACGGUCAUAAGGACAUGGCUUUGCAUGACGCUGUCCGCCUGGGAAGAAACGAUAUUGUGGACACUCUACUUAAGGCUGACGACAAGUUGUCUAAUUCUUCUGAAGAAGGCACUUCAUUGUACCUAGCAAUUUCACUGAAUAGAGAUAACACACACUACAUGACAAGAGCAAUGGGAAUCUCUUGUAUCACGGACGGCGAAAUGCUCUGCAUGCUGCGAUUGUUCAAGGCAUAG